rnacentral:rRNA from 1 species
UACAGAGGGGGCAAGCGUUGUUCGGAAUUACUGGGCGUAGAGGGCGCGUAGGCGGCCUUCUUAGUCGAACGUGAAAUCCCCGGGCUCAACCCGGGAACUGCGUCCGAUACUGGAAGGCUCGAAUCCGGGAGAGGGAUGUGGAAUUCCAGGUGUAGCGGUGAAAUGCGUAGAUAUCUGGAGGAACACCGGUGGCGAAGGCGACAUCCUGGACCGGUAUUGACGCUGAGGAGCGAAAGCGUGGGGAGCGAACAGG